UCCCUCGUUGCCCAGUGGUUAAGGCUCUGCACUUCCACUGCAGGGGGCAUGGGUUCAAGCCCUGGUCAGGGAG
rnacentral:tRNA from 1 species